rnacentral:rRNA from 1 species
AUUGAACGCUGGCGGCAGGCCUAACACAUGCAAGUCGAGCGGAUGAAGGGAGCUUGCUCCUGGAUUCAGCGGCGGACGGGCGAGUAAUGCCUAGGAAUCUGCCUGGUAGUGGGGGAUAACGUCCGGAAACGGGCGCUAAUACCGCAUACGUCCUGAGGGAGAAAGUGGGGGUUCUUCGGACCUCACGCUAUCAGAUGAGCCUAGGUCGGAUUAGCUAGUUGGUGGGGUAAAGGCCUACCAAGGCGACGAUCCGUAACUGGUCUGAGAGGAUGAUCAGUCACACUGGAACUGAGACACGGUCCAGACUCCUACGGGAGGCAGCAGUAGGGAAUAUUGGGCAAUGGGCGAAAGCCUGAUCCAGCCAUGCCGCGUGUGUGAAGAAGGUCUUCGGAUUGUAAAGCACUUUAAGUUGGGAGGAAGAGCAGUAUGUUAAUACCUGGCUGUCUUGACGUUACCAACAGAGAAAGCACCGGCUAACUUCGUG